AUUGAACGCUGGCGGCAGGCCUAACACAUGCAAGUCGAACGGUAGCACAGAGAGCUUGCUCUCGGGUGACGAGUGGCGGACGGGUGAGUAACGUCUGGGAAACUGCCCGAUGGAGGGGGAUAACUACUGGAAACGGUAGCUAAUACCGCAUAACGUCGCAAGACCAAAGUGGGGGACCUUCGGGCCUCACACCAUCGGAUGUGCCCAGAUGGGAUUAGCUAGUGGGGGGGGUAACGGCCCACCUAGGCGACGAUCCCUAGCUGGCCUGAGAGGAUGACCAGCCACACUGGAACUGAUACACGGUCCAGACUCCUACGGGAGGCAGCAGUGGGGAGUAUUGCACAAUGGGCGCAAGCCUGAUGCGGCCAUGCCGCGUGUAUGAAGAAGGCCUUCGGGUUGUAAAGUACUUUCAGCGGGGAGGAAGGCGGUGAAGUUAAUAACUUCACCGAUUGACGUUACCCGCAGAAGAAGCACCGGCUAACUCCGUGCCAGCCGCCGCCGUAA
rnacentral:rRNA from 1 species